GACGAACGCUGGCGGCGUGCUUAACACAUGCAAGUCGAACGGAAAGGCCCUGCUUUUGUGGGGUGCUCGAGUGGCGAACGGGUGAGUAACACGUGAGUAACCUGCCCUUGACUUUGGGAUAACUUCAGGAAACUGGGGCUAAUACCGGAUAGGAGCUCCUGCUGCAUGGUGGGGGUUGGAAAGUUUCGGCGGUUGGGGAUGGACUCGCGGCUUAUCAGCUUGUUGGUGGGGUAGUGGCUUACCAAGGCUUUGACGGGUAGCCGGCCUGAGAGGGUGACCGGCCACAUUGGGACUGAGGUACGGCCCAGACUCCUACGGGAGGCAGCGGUGGGGAAUAUUGCACAGUGGGCGGAAGCCUGAUGCAGCAACGCCGCGUGCGGGAUGACGGCCUUCGGGUUGUAAACCGCUUUCGCCUGUGACGAAGCGUGAGUGACGGUAAUGGGUAAAGAAGCACCGGCUAACUACGUG
rnacentral:rRNA from 1 species